UACGUAGGGUCCGAGCGUUGUCCGGAAUUAUUGGGCGUAAAGGGCUCGUAGGCGGUCUGUCACGUCGGGAGUGAAAACUCGGGGCUUAACCCCGAGCCUGCUUCCGAUACGGGCAGACUAGAGGUAUGCAGGGGAGAACGGAAUUCCUGGUGUAGCGGUGAAAUGCGCAGAUAUCAGGAGGAACGCCGGUGGCGAAGGCGGUUCUCUGGGCAUUACCUGACGCUGAGGAGCGAAAGUGUGGGGAGCGAACAGG
rnacentral:rRNA from 1 species